ensembl:snRNA
AAAAAGGGCUUCUGUCGAGAGUGGCACACGCAGAGCGGCUCUGUUUGCUCUGCGUGCGGAAUCGACAUCAAGAGGUUUUGGAAGCAUAAUUUUUUGGUUUGUGGGCAGCUGGUGAUCGUUGGUCCUAGUACCCGA